GGCUAACGCUGGCGGCGUGUCUUAGCCAUGCAAGUCGAGCGGACUUAUGGGGUAACUUAUAAGUCAGCGGCGGACGGCGGAGUAACACGUAGCUAACCUACCCUCUGGACGGGGAUAACCUACCGAAAGGUGGGCUAAUACCCGAUGUAGUCAUCCUGUAUAGGGGUGAUGAAAGGUGGGCUUCUGUUUACAAGCUCAUGCUGGAGGAGGGGGCUGCGGCCUAUCAGGUAGUUGGUAGGGUAAUAGCCUACCAAGCCGAUGACGGGUAGCCGGCCUGAGAGGGUGACCGGCCCGAGGGGCACUGAGAUACGGGUCCCACUCCUACGGGAGGCAGCAGGCUAGAAAUUUGGGCAAUGGGGAAACCCUGACCCAGUGACGCCGCGUGCAGGAAGGAGCCCUUCGGGGUGUAAACUGGCUGUCGUGUAGGGAGAAGGGUACUAAGGUGAACAAUCUUAGUACUUGACGGUACUACAGGAGGAAGCCCAGGCUAACCUCGUGCCAGCAGCCGCGGUAAAGCGUACUGA
rnacentral:rRNA from 1 species